rnacentral:rRNA from 1 species
GCUCCUUUGACGUUAGCGGCGGACGGGUGAGUAACACGUGGGCAACCUACCCUAUAGUUUGGGAUAACUCCGGGAAACCGGGGCUAAUACCGAAUAAUCUCUUUUGCUUCAUGGUGAAAGACUGAAAGACGGUUUCGGCUGUCGCUAUAGGAUGGGCCCGCGGCGCAUUAGCUAGUUGGUGAGGUAACGGCUCACCAAGGCGACGAUGCGUAGCCGACCUGAGAGGGUGAUCGGCCACACUGGGACUGAGACACGGCCCAGACUCCUACGGGAGGCAGCAGUAGGGAAUCUUCCACAAUGGGCGAAAGCCUGAUGGAGCAACGCCGCGUGAGUGAAGAAGGUUUUCGGAUCGUAAAACUCUGUUGUAAGGGAAGAACAAGUACAGUAGUAACUGGCUGUACCUUGACGGUACCUUAUUAGAAAGCCACGGCUA